CAAUACUCUGAUGGGAAGCGCAAGGCAGAAGUUGGCACACGGACCGUACGUGACUGCGAUAAGGACCGGCGCACCAGCGGAUGCAGAUAGGAAAGGUAUGCGGCGAGACAGGCCGCGAAGACUCGGUCCCAUGCAAAGUACGUGACUGCGAUAAGGACCGGCGCGCCAGCGGAUGCAGAUAGGAAAGGUAUGCGGCGAGACAAGCCGCGAAGACUCGGUCCCAUGCAAAGUACGUGACUGCGAUAAGGACCGGCACGCCAGCGGAUGCAGGCAGCGAGAAGAGGCACGUAGACUCGGUCUCGCCGAGACGUACGUGACUGCGAUAACAGUCGGCACACCUGCAAAAUGCAGAUGGGAAUGGAAUGCAGCGGGACAGCCCGCGAAGGCACAGUCACACGGGAACCCCCACCUGUCUGACCACUGGCUGCGGCCUAUAAAAACACAGGCGAGGUCCGCAGAAGGCAGUCUUCCGAACAACAGUCUUCCGAACAACAGUCUUCCGAACAACAGUCUUCCGAACAACAGUCUUGCGAACAGAGUUCUAUCUAACAGUCUACGAGUACAUAAAAAGUCAAAGUGAUCAAGUGAUCAGCAUCAUCUAAGUAAAUUAACGACGAAUAUACGCUAAGAUGAAUGAUACCAAGAAUAAUAAACGUUCGAAUAAUAAACGUCGAGGGGGACGUAAGACAAAAAUCAUCCGAAAAAUCCGCGCACUCCAACGGGAGGCUACAGUAAAAUUUGAGCAGAGGCUCCGCGAUAUUGGGAGGGAGCUGGCCGAGGAGGCACUGAGGCCAGAUCCGUUCCCGGAUUCUCCUCCGUCCGUGGAAGUUUACGACCCGGUAACGGAGAAAGACCGUUAUCACGACGACGAGUUGGAGCGCCUCUUCCAAGAGGAAGAUUUUCGUGACCCCGAUUGGGACCCCCAAUAUUUUAACAUCAAUUUGUUAAACAUUUAAUUUUAAUAAAAUAUCCACUAGUAUCUUGAA